AUUCAAAGUAGGACAAGGAAAUACAAUGGAAUGGAUACAAAACUACACACAAAGGCAGACAAACAACCAAUGUGCAAAAGAAGCCAAAGUCUGCAAAUACAAACAAGCAAGUAAUAACUAAGCACUGAGAACACGAGUUGUAGUGCCUUGGACAGUGAGUCCAUAGGUUGUGGACUAAAUUCAGAGCUGAGGUAAAUGAAUUUGAAUCUGGUUAAGACAGAAGACUGAGAGGUGAUGUUACAGAAGUGAGGUUAUAAAUAAGUGUGUUGAGAAGACCAAGUCUAACCCUGGUUCCAGCAUCUUCCACAGGAUCCUACCUCUCCACCUUCUCUCCGCUUUCAACAGGUUCUUUUGAAGACCUGACCUGGAGUUCCACGCUGACUUUGGUUCUUGCAGGAAUGGGACCCACUCUCAGGGUUUCACAACAGACCGUUUUUCAAUAUGCCAAGGACAUGGCCUAAGAGCUCAACCACUCUUUCUAACAGCUCAUUCCAAAUAUGUACCAUCCUUUGCAUCAAGAAGCUGCCCCUAAAGGCCCUUUUAAAUCUCUUGUUAUGUAAAGUUGCAACUUGAUGCCCCAAUCUAAUAGUCCUGUGUAGGAAGGAAAGCAAACCUUCUUCAUGAGCCUACCCACCACUUCCAGGGAGCGAUGGACUUGCCCGUAUAUCAACACUUCUGUGGUCUUUGCCUUCUAAUGUAUUUGCUUAGCCCGCAAUAGACGUCCCAAAAUACAUUACCUCACCCUUUCUGGAUGAAAUUCCAUCUGCCACUACCUCACCCUGAGAAUCGAAGGAAUUCUGCUCUAAGCUGUCGGACUCCAUCUAAGUGAAAAUUAAACAAAAAAUGUAGACAUCAGAAAUCUGAAAAUAAAA